UACGUAGGGGGCAAGCGUUGUUCGGAAUUACUGGGCGUAAAGGGCGCGUAGGCGGCUGCGUAAGUCGGGAGUGAAAGCCCGGGGCUCAACCCCGGAAUGUCUCUCGAAACUGCGCGGCUCGAGUGCGGAAGAGGCAACUGGAAUUCCCAGUGUAGCGGUGAAAUGCGUAGAUAUUGGGAGGAACACCAGUGGCGAAGGCGGCUCACUGGACCGGUACUGACGCUGAUGCGCGAAAGCGUGGGGAGCAAACGGG
rnacentral:rRNA from 1 species